UAGAGGAGCGCCGAAAUAAGAGAACUUUGUUGCUAUCAGAUUUGACUCGCUUUUUGGGCUGGCUCUUUUUCAACAAAUUUUCUAUCAACCAAAUUGAACAAAUUAUUUUCAUUCGAAAUAUGACAAUGAAAAUUGUAGAAAUAUAUAAAACUUGGUUUAGUGACGUCGUAGACUACACAAAAAAAUUGCUGGAUUCGAGACACAAAUUGAAGUGACUUGGAGAGAGAGAGAGAGAGAGUCGCUUCAAAGAAAAAUAUUAUUGGUUGGGAUGGAAUAGAUUGUAUAUCUUCUCCUUUUUUUUCCUGGAUGCACAUCUUGCUGUGGGAGGUGCUACCACGGAUAAAUGAGUGUGGUGAACUGAGCUCGAUGCGUAAAGCAUGGCCCCAUAAAGUGAAACUCCACGUCCACGUCAAGCCUUAUCGUCCAUUAGCCUCGUUUUACUUAAAUCUAUUACAGUCAUCUAAUCACAUCCUUUCAUUUAGAAUUUUUGUGGAGCUCAAUGGCUACAAGUCCACUUUGCAUGAUCAAUUUUUCAUUAUAUGUUUAAGCUUUCACACCAUAUUAUGUGUUAUGAUUUUGUAAAAGGAGUCUUUUAAAACCAAUUCGUAAUGAGUGACAAAGAACUUUUUACUAACAAUUAACUUAUUAGGUAUAACUUCUAUCAAAAAUGUUUGAAGGGGGCUUGAUGAAUAACAAAGGCUUUGCCUUUUGCUGUAAUCUCCUCAUAUUAGCGAUAAGUUUUUCAGAGGUCAAGAGCAGAGUUGAUUACUUUGAUGAGGAUUACUUAGGUUACAAGAUUACAGACCUCAAAGCCGACGUAGUCAAUUACCACCAGGCCUUGGAAAAGUUCGACAAGUCAAACAGUAGCUUUGACGCCUUAUCAGGGUGCCUCAGAUACUUCUUUAGGUACGUGGACCUGACGCGACCGGACGAACUAACAUCCUUCAUUUUCUCAUACUCCAAGCUGCGGCCAGACUUGUUUCCUUUGGUUCAAGAAAGGCGUAGCGCUAAUGAAGGCCACGCUCAGCUAAAAUCAAACCUGUUGAUCAAGAGAAAGGAUGGCACAUUCUUCCUGAUCUACCCAAACCGACCCAGCAUCGAUUUCAUGUCAGCAAGGCUGAAGCAAGAUGAGAACGGGCUUUGGGCCUACGAUGGGUUGAACGAACCAAUGAAGAAUUGGGUGUUGGUAACCAUGUACUGGCGCAAACAGUAUCCGCACGAAUAUUUCCGGAACGUGACGCUCGACUUUCGCUGGGAUAAGCUCGAUGAUGAUAAUAACUUUGCUACAAGGGUACAGGCCUUUGACAGGCCAAAGUUUGAAUAA
rnacentral:lncRNA from 1 species